rnacentral:lncRNA from 1 species
CCAUUUUGGACUGAACCAAGUUUGUUGAGUCAAUUGGAAAUAAGCUGAAUUUUUAAAUGACAUCGUUUUGUGUGAUUAAAAGAGGAUAAGUGUUCCUUUCGGUUUUUCUCAUUCUAGAACAUUCAUUUUGUCUUUGGUUUUCUCUUUGUUUUUAGAUCUGAAAACUUAUUUUGUAGAUUUGAUUUUCAUUUUCAAGAUAUCUUCAAAAUUUGGUUAUGGAGUGAUGUUUUCCAAAAUUUCAGGGUUAGCAGCGGUGGCAACUUCCACUUCGGCAGCGACAAUUACCACCUAGGUGCACCGUCUCCUCCUACCAAAUUGACCCACUUCUCUGCCUUGAGUUUUUUUUAGAUACACUUGUUCUGUAGAAAAAUUCAAGGUGCUAGAUCUAAUGCUUUUUGUUUGUGCUAAUUAAUUUUGCAAUUUGUGCUCAAUGUUUUGUCGAAUUACGAAAGUUGGUAGUGUUUCAUGGGAUUUUAGUUGGUUAAAGGUACCACUUCAAUGACAAGAAGCCCUAAAUUUUCUUAGAAUUUGUUCAUGAAUUAGCGAAAAAAAUAAAACUCAUUUAUUAUUGGGUAUAAGUUUUGCUUUACUUUAUUGAUGCUUUCAAACAUCUUGAUUCACUUGAGGUAUGUUUAAAAUAGUGUGUUUUCAUUCCAAUAUUUUGAUUCUGCUUGAAAAGCUCUUUUCUUGAUGUGCGAGCAUCAAUUUUUACACUUCACAACCUAUCUAGAGGAUUCUGCAAGCGUGCGAGCUAGGCUGUAACAUUUGAGCAAUAUCCUUCUUUAGGUAAUCGUGUUGUGCGUACCUUCAAAUCUAUGUACCUAGCAUAAUUGAAAAUGAAAACAUUAAGAACUAGAUAACAUAAUUCUUCUUCACAAAUCUUUUGUAUGACUCAGCUCUAUACUGUUUAAUUAUCACCACAAAAAACAAAAGCAAAGAAAUUCACAAGCAAUUAAUUUUAUAUCAUUCAAGUAUUUCCAUACCACAUAUAUUGCUUUCUAUAUUAGAAUUUAUUGAAUGAGAAACAAUGUAUUAAACUCCAUGAAGGAGAAGAUGAAUUACACUCCAUGAAAGGAGGAAAUGAACAGCUCCAUAAAAGGAGGAAGACACUCCAUAAUAGGAGGAAAUGAAAUCUCCAUGGAAGGAGGGAUUGGAGGACAAUCCAAUAGACUAAAAAUUCAUCCACGGUGCUGUAUUUAUAGAGCAAAAUGGCUAAAGUAAUUAACUAACUAAUUAGCUAAUUAACAAACUAAUCAAUAACUAACUAACAACUAAGACAGCUGGACACAACCGUUUUGGAAUCUGAUAUGUUGAGAUGGAAGUCUCUAGAAUCUGGUGCACACAUGAUGCUGGAAUCUGCUGAUGUUUGGUGCAUGUGUAUUCCAACAUUCUAUUCUUUAUCUAUGUCGUUUGAUUUUUGAUAAUUUUAAAGCAACGUUUAAAAUUCUCCAAAAGGGAUUUCUAUUAUGUUUCACAACCUUAUGUUGACCAUAUUAUCUUUGUAGUAUACGCCGUAAAAAAGAGUUGAAGUGAAUUUUUUCCUGUUGAGAUGAGCCAAUUAGUGGUAGAUUUAUAUGUGUUGUUGUGUAUGUAUUUUCGCAGUUUGUAUAAUAUAUCUGCAAGAACGUAGGAUUUGACUUUUGAAAAUAGCUCUGAUUCACCAUGUCUCAGAAACUGGUUUGACAUAUCCAGCAAGCAAGAAGUGAUACAAAAGUUGAGACAACAAUUAAAGAGAAAAGAUUACAUGAUGCUAGAAAUACAAGAUCAGAUUGCAAAACUUUGAGACUCUUUGUGAAGUGCAUUUGUAUUCUUUCCAUCUACAAUAGCUGCUCGAUUCUACAAACAGGGAUCUGUUUGAUUCCAAAGGAAAAUAUAGAGAUUAAGAAAGGCAAUUGCAGAUAAUUAUGGGGGACAUAUGGUUUUUAGUGACAAUUCCCUUGCUGUUCAUCUAGCAGAAGGAAGGAAUGGCCACACAAAUGGAUAUUCCGAGAUUGAAAGCAAUCUUGAUUCUUAAGAAAAAGGGAGAGGAGAUUGGGAUAUAACAUUGAAACAUUAAGAAGGGAAGUCAGGGGGUGAAAAGAAGUAAUAAUCCAAAAUCUCAAAACUUUUGGGCUGUCGUAUCUUAUCUAAACUCAAAAUAUUAGAAAUUUCAAACAUAUGUUUUUUUACGUGUGAUAAGGAUUAAGAAUAAAAGUAGAUGUCAUGGUAUCUUGUUAAUAUAUAACUGAGAAAACAUUUUGAAAAAAAAAUAAAAUAAAAGAUAAUUAUUUUUAGAAGUGAAAAGUUAUAUCGUUGAAUUAAUUUUCAUGUUAUUAUAUUUAUUCAAGACAUCUUUCGGUAAGCUUCCAAGAUUGAGCUUCUUGUUCAUCUUGUGGAAUUAAUUGAUGAUUGUAGGUGUUUAGUCAAGAAAGCUUGUUUGGUUUUACCGUUCUUGAUUAAUCUUUAGGUUCGAUUGAUUUUCUUGAUUUUGGUUUUUUUUUUCAUUAGUAAGCAAAAAGAAAAAAAAAACAUUUUUGCUGUUCUGAUUAUAUGUCAUAAUUUAUUGUAUCUAUUUAAUGAGUUAAACCAUGUGGUAUUGCCUAAUUGUUUCUAUGCACAACUAAAAAACAAUGUAAUUUCGUUCUUCACAUGUCCUAUUACUAAAUAGUAUUUGAUCUUUUUCACUUAGCUUGCACUUUAGCAACAUGAGUUUUUGUUGACUUCCUUGAAGUGAGAUGUGUUUGAUGUUACAGGUGCCUUCCAGAAUUUCAGGGACUACAUCAAAUUUUGUGAUUAAUAAACCCGAGAUUUAAUUUAAACAACCCAAUUUCCUGCAAUUUAUGAAGGAAGCUAAGGAUAUGGAUCUGGAUUUAUGGUAUUUUGUUGAACAAAAGAACAUUUAAUAACCAAUAUCGAUUCUCCAGUAUUUUAUAUUCCAUUUCUGACUUUUAGCAUGCGAACUUUUAUAGCUCUUGUAAGAGGUUUAGUACUUAGCACAAUAUUCAUAUUUUGUAAUUGCAAUUUAGCUAAGACAUCUUGCAGUUGUAGCAUGGCAGGUAUUAAUCAGGGUUGAAAUUAUAAAAGAAAAUGGAAAUAAUAUAAUCAAUCUCUGUCUUCAAUAAACAUUACACGCAUACCAACGAACAAGCUGGAGGAAAACAAAAAAGUGGAGAAGAGGAACUACAACAUUAGAUUUCAGGAAUACGGAUUAUGAGUGCCCUAUUUGAGUCCCAUUUUUUCAAGAAUUCAUUUUUUCAAAUCUCACUUUCAACUAUACAUUCUCUCAUAAAAUAAAAUACGUAUUUUAAACAUUUUUCUUGAUUUUUAACCACACAUUCUCCAAAAAAUCACUAUUCUAUAAUCCAUUUUACCCAAGAAUGGGGAUCAAACAGGGACUAGAUUUCCAUUACAAAGUAAACUUUACCUUUCUCUUCACUAUUUUGUCUUGGUCAGUGGUGGAUCUAGGAGUUGGAGCCAACUAGGGCAGUUGGUAACCGUCGACUGAUGCAUUAACAAGAUCGUUUAUUAAUAUUUUAUUAAAUAAUAUUAAAAAAAUUUAAUUAAUAUAUAAAUGCAGUAAAACGUAAAUCACAUAUUAACAAUCAUCAAGUUUCCAUUUCCAAAUUUCACAAAUACUAGUAGAUUCCAUAAGUCCACAAACACUAAUAGUUUUUAUUUCCAAAAUCCCUAAUUUUCACAAAAUCCUCAAUUUUCACGAAUUUCAUAGUCCACAUAUAUGAUAUCGCAUAUCCUCAAACUCAUGAAGCCUCCAAUUUUCGUAAAUAAUAUUAGAGGUUCGUGACUCAUGAAGUCACAAACUAACAGUAAAUAUUCAUAAAACAUAAAUUCAUAAAUCAUAACUGAUUAUUUUAACUGAUAGCUCAUAAUUUGAUAAAUAAUAAAUCAAAAAACGAACAGAAACCAAAAAAAAAGAAAAAAAGGAGAAAUGAAGAGAGGCAGGAGACUCACCACUCAUGUCCCGCCAUCACGAGUGGAAUUAGUUACCAGUGAUACAGUGGUGGUGUAGUUCUGUAGUUGCCAGUGGCUCAACGUCGGUGAUUCUACUGUGGCUUAGCUUGAGUGCUAGCAGAGAAAAAUAGAGUUUGGAAAUUGGAAUUGGAUAGAAUUGCUUGAUUUUGGGUUUGAACUGCCGAGUGAUAUGUGGCUUUGUGCGUUUGAUUUAUGAAGGGAAAAUUUCACGAAACACCAGUUAAUUUAUAUUAUUGUCUAUUCUACAUGCCACUGUAUUCUUAUUCUAAUUAUACAGCUUUUUAUACAGUAUUUUGGAAAACUGAAUGGGAGAACAAAUAAGCAGGUGUAUUAAGUUGGAAAGCAUCAAUUACGGUCAAUUCAAUUCUCCCAAUAUCUUGCACUUUCCCAAAAAAUCCAUUUCAUAUUCUUCUCUCUCCAUCUUGCAGAAAACUAAACACUACCGUCCAUGCAAAUCCAAGAUCCCCAGAUCAAUUAAUCAAGAAAAGGGGUUAAUUUACUACACAGAUCGAUCUCAUUACCUCACAUACCCAUGGGCUCUGUCUAUAUCCCACGGUCGGAAGUUGAAUGUCGUAAGUUAGCUACCCCUUGACGGAAGUUGUCGCUGGCUUCCAAAGAGGGUAUUAAUGGAGGGGAAGCUUCGGCAUCUGUGGAGAUAGUGACGACGAAAAUGGAAGUGCUUGUUCUCCUUAACGUCGAAUUACAUGAUCUAUAACCGUUUUGUCAGAAUAUAAGGAACGAGACCCCCCAGCCAUCAAAGAAAUGUUUAAAACCUCAGCCAAUGUUUAUAAAAGUGAGAAGAGGCCUCCUGACUAUGUUGACGAAGAAUCCUCUAUGAAGAAAAUGAAAAUGGCGUUGCAUUCGAACCCGGAAAAAGGAAAUUCUACGUCUCACGUAUUAUUUUUGGGGAUUUUUGAAAACUGUGAAUGUUAAUAUAUGUUAAAUUUUGUUUGCUAUCUUGAGGUUGACAUUUUUGAGACAAUGAAUUACGUAUGUAUGUGAUUUACGUGAAGUUCUCCUCCAUGCUUCUCUGACCCCGUUUAUUGUCUGUACCAAAACCAUUGGAUGACACACCGAAACCUUACACUACUGUGUGUGAUAUGUCGCGUUUGAAGAGUUUGAUAUGCUAAAAUUUACUUACAUCUCUGUGAUUGAUUGUGAAUAUUAAUUCUUCUUUUCUUAUGAUGACAACAUAUGCAAUACAACCCAUGUUUGUUACCGAGUAACGUUAACAUUUCUAACCUUACAUUUCAUCAUUUGCAUUUCCAUUUUUUUUUUGUAAUCUGCAAUAUGUAGUGGAAACUCAUUUUACACUUGACUUUGAUGUUCAGAUUGCACACUGUCUAUUAGAAAAUGGAAAUCAGCUGCAGGUGAGUCAGCUUGGGAAUUAGCAAAGCACGUACACUCCAGUACACAUGGGCGACAAGCUGGACUAUAGGUGGAAGAAUAAAUCUAGAAAGAUGUAGCAUAUUUUUUGUUAUGUGGUUUUCCUUUCGUAACAGUGUUGUUUAUAUAAAUUCUUUUUCCUGCCUCCUGUAUAGGUUUUUCGUUAGGCUGGUACUCUUCUCAUUCUAUAUAUAGUGUGAUCAACCUGUAAAGAAGUGAAUAUAGCAGAUUCAAUAUCAUGAGAAAAUUCUCCCAAAACUCUUGCACUCCACCUGCUCGAUAGUUUUCUUCUUUCAUUUAUUUCUUCUUUUCUUAUAUGAUAUCAGAGCCAGAUAUGGUACAACCUGAUUCUGCUAAUCCAAAUCCAGUUGAAUCUUCAAACACAGAUAUAAAUCAACACCCAAAUCCAAUCACGGUUGAUCCCUCACAGCCAAACAGUCCAUACUAUAUUGGAGCUAAUGAUAGCUCUGGAUCCACACUCGUUACUCAUGUAUUGGAUUCAAACAAUUAUCAUUCCUGAGCACGUGCGAUGUAAAGAGCACUCAGGAUUAAAAAUAAGCUCGAUUUUGUUGAUGGAAGCAUUUCAGAGCCUAGUGAUGCAGACAGUCCACUUAUGGAGCAUUGGUUGAGAUGUAAUGAUAUAGUAAUCACUUGGUUGCAGAAUACUAUGGCAGUUGAAAUAAAAUGCAGCACCAUGUAUGCUGAAACGGCACAUUACUAUGCAAAGAACUUGAACAGAGAUUGGCACAGCAAAAUGCAUCUAGGAUUUUUGAACUCAAACAAAGUAUUGCAAACUUGAUGCAAAACCAAGACAGAGUGUGUGUAUUUCUCAAAGCUGAAAACUCUUUUGGAUGAAUUGCUAAAUUAUGAAUCAGUACCCAAUUAUUCCUGUGGGGGUUUGAAGGUUGUGGUGAACAACCAACAAAGAGAUUGGUUUAUGAAAUUCCUAAUAGGUCUCAAUGAUACGUACUAGGGAUUAAAGGCUCAAAUUCUCCUCAUUAAGCCUUUCCCAAUCUUGAAUGAAGUAUACUCCAUAAUUCAGCAAGAAGAGAAGAGAAGGCAAAUAUCCAUUGAUAGUUCACUUGAUGAAACUAUGGCACUACUUGCUAAGGGUAACCUUGAUGUGAGAAAACAAAACCAAUCCUCUCCGAAGAAGGAUAGGUACUACUGCACCUAUUGUAAGAUAGCUGGGCAUUCCCUUGAACGAUGCUUCAAGGCUAAUCUAAACAAACCAACAUGCUCUUAUUGCCAAAUGCCUAGUCAUACAGUUGGAAAAUGUUUUGAGUUACACGGGUAUCCAUCGGGGCACAAAUCAGAAGGGAGAAAUAAGCCAUCAACAUCAUUUGCUAAUCAGACUACUACACUUAUGCCUCUUGUCUAGGAACGGGUAAAUAACAAAGCUCAAAUGUCUUUAUCUCAGGAGCAAUAUGAUUAGCUCAUGGCACUGCUGAAACCACAAACUCAUCAAACCUUCAUCCCUUCUGCAAAUCAUGUUCAAACUUUAUUCCAACUCAUUCUGAUAAUGGUGAGAUGCCAAAAGCUUCAGGUAUAUCUCUAUGUCUGUCUGCCUUUAGCACUAAACUUCAUGAUCAUUCAGUUGUACCUUGGAUAUUAGACACAGGGGCUACGGAUCAUAUGAUCUUCUCAACCUCUCUCUUUACCACAAUAAAGUCUAAAGUUUCCUAUUCAGUAGGUCUCCCAAAUGGUAAGGACAGUAAAAUUUUUAGAAUCUUUCAUUUUGGAUAAUGUUCUUUGUGUUACGUCGUUUUCUUUUAAUCUGCUAUCAGCUAGAAAAAUAACGUAGAACAUGAAUUGUUGCCUCAUUUUUCUUCAUGAUUGUUGUUUUAUACAGGACCUUUUGACUUGGAAAACGACUGGAAUGGGUGAAGUAAAGCAAGGACUCUAUCACUUGAUGCAAAACGAAGUGUCUCCUUUUUCCUUGACCAAGAAAUUAGCCUAUCUAACUUAAAAGACACCCAUAUCCACUUCCUCUAUUUUCAAUAAUGGUGAAGAUUUCGAUCUUUGGCACUGUAGGUUAGGACACUCCACCUAUUCAAAGUUUAAUUUACCAGAAGACACCACAAGAUCCACCAAACAGCCUUACCUUAAUUGUCCUUUAGCCAAACUACAAAAAUUAUCAGAAAAAUGUUUUGAUCUCAUAUAUUGUGACAUUUGGGGACCAUGUAAUGAGAUUAGUUAUGAUGGUUUUCGUUAUUUUCUAGCUAUUGUGGAUGAUUUUAGUAGAUGUACUUGGUUUUAUAUGUUGAAAUUCAAAUCUGAUGCUGGCAUUGUUUCGCAAAGUUUUUGCUCUAUGAUUGAAACACAAUUUGAAUGCAAAGUUAAAACUAUUAGAUCAGACAAUAGAGAUGAAUUUGAGAUGAAGAAAUUUUAUUCACAAAAGGGAAUCAUUCACCAUAAAACUUGUGUAGAGACUCCUCAACAAUAUGCCAUAGUUGAAAGAAAACAUCAACACAUUUUAAAUGUGGCAAGAGCUUUAAAAUUUCAAAGUGUCAUCCCAUUAAGAUAUUGGAGUAAUUGUGUUCUCACGACAGUUUAUCUUAUAACUAUAACCCCUAUACCUCUUUUAGACCACAAAACACCCUUUGAAAUUCUUUUUCAAACCAAACCAGAUUACACUUAUCUUAGAGUUUUCGGAUGCCUAACAUUUGCUACUACCCUAGUAAGUGGAAGACUUGAAUUUGAUCCUAGAGCUAGGAGAUGCAUAUUUUUGGGAUACCCAUUUGGAAUCAAAGGAUACAAAUUAAUGGAUUUGGAAACAAAUAAGGUCUUUAUCUCUAGGAAUGUUAUCUUUCCAUGAGAGUGUGUUUCGCUGCAAGCAAAAUGCUAGCAUGAGUGCUGAUUUUAGUCCAAAUCCAACUUCAAAAACAGAUUUCAUUUCUGAAAUUCCUACUAUCUCAAAUCACAUAGAAAACAGCCAAAUCAUUCUCUUAUCAACAUUUCAGACAAAAUGUAGCAACAGAUCACUCAACAGACUUUGAAUCUUCUUCAUUAGAACAAAAUCAUGACUCAUCUGAACCUGCAAAUACAUUUAGAAUUGAUAGUGAGCCAUCCCAAAAACAAGUUGUACCUUGAAGGUCAAACAGAAUCAAGAGAACCUCUACAUAUCUCAAGGAUUUUGUCUGUCAAUAGGUCACUUUGCUUCCCCAUUCACAGGCUUUGGACAAGCAAAGGGUCACCAUUCCCUCAGGUAAUCCCUAUCCUCUUGAGAAUAGUGUGUCAUAUCAUAAACUCUCCACUCCCUACAAGGCUUUUGUUGUUUCUAUCAACACACACACAGAACCUAAAAAUUUCCAAGAAGCACUGAAUCUCUCGAGUGGUGUAAUGCUAUGAAAGUUGAAAUAAAUGCUCUCGAAUUAAAUGAUACUUGGCUAGUUGUUGAUCUGCCUCUUGGUAAGGAGGCCAUAGGGUGUAAGAGGGUUUAUAAAAUCAAAUUUAGUGCUAAUGGGACCAUAGAGAGAUAUAAAACCAGAUUAGUGGUUAAGGGAUACACACGGCAAUAAGGACUCGACUAUCAUGAAACAUUUUCUCCUGUGGCAAAACUAGUUACUGUAAGGACUUUGUUGACUUUGGUUGCUGUUAAAGGUUGACACUUAUACCAGUUUGAUGUAAACAAUGCAUUUCCACAUGGAGAUUUGGAGAAAGAAGUUUACAUGCAAUUGCCUCCGGGUUAUCCCACUGCUAAUGGGACAAAAGUUUGCAAAUUGAAGAAAAGCUUGUAUGGCCUUAAACAGGCCUCUAGACAGUGGUAUUCUAAGCUGUCUAACUUCAUUAUUGAGCAAGGUUUUUCACAAUCUAAGGCUAAUUAUAGCUUAUUUACAAGAGCUACAAAACAUUCUUUUAUUGCCAUCCUUCUAUAUGUCGACGACAUUAUAGUGUUCAGCAACUGCAUUGACUCUGUUAAUGUUCUCAAGGAUACCCUACAUGAGAAAUUCAAAAUCAAGGAUCUAGGAUAGCUGAAAUACUUCCUUGGGAUUGUGGCUAGGUCAGAUCGUGGCAUCCACAUAUGCCAAAGAAAGUAUGCCUUAGACAUCUUGACAGAUUCAGGCAAAAUUGGGGCAGCACCAACUCGAAUUCUGCUUGAUCAGAAUCAUAAGCUUUCUAAAGCGCAGGGUAAACUAAUUCCUAACCCAUCACUCUAUAGAAGGCUAGUUGGAAGAUUACUAUAUUUAACUAUAACAAGAUCGUAUCUAUCCUUUUCAGUGCAACUAUCAAGUUAAUUCAUGGAUAACCCUAGAUUCCCACGCCUUAAUGAAGCCUACAAAGUUUUAAGGUAUAUCAAAAAGGCUCCAGGACAAGGUUUGUUUUAUUCUACUGAAUCAAGCUUGCAACUUAUAGGUUACUGUGAUUCAGAUUGGGGAGCAUGCCAGGACACAAGAAGGUCGGUCAGUGGUUAUUGUGUGUCUACUGGGUCUUCUUUGAUAGCCUGGAAGUCAAAGAAACAAGGGGUCAUGUCUAGAUCAUCUACAGAGGCAGAAUACCGAGCAAUGGCUAACCUGUGCUGUGAAUUAACUUGGAUGAGAUAUUUACUUCAUGACUUGCAAAUUACACAUCCUCAGGCUGCCACUAUGUUUUGUGAUAACAAGGCUGCACUUCACAUCGCAUCAAGCCCUAUCUUUCAUGAACGAACCAAGCACAUUGAGCUUGAUUGUCAUCUCAUCCGUGACAAGAUUCAAGAUGGAAGCAUAACCACUCGUUAUAUUGGUAGUAGACUACAAGUUGCAGACCUCCUAACUAAGGCCUUAAGUUCUCCUGUUUUCUACUCUCAUUUGCUCAAGAUGGGAGUAGAAGAUAUCUACUCUCGACCUUGUGAGGGGCUAUUAGAAAAUGGAAAUCAGCUGCAGGUGAGUCAGCUUGGGAGUUAGUAAAGCACGCACACUCCAGUACACAUGGGCAAUAAGCUGGACCAUAGGUGGAAGAAUAAAUCUAGAAGGAUUUAGCAUCUUUUCUGUUAUGUGGUUUUCCUUUCGUAACAGAGUUGUUUAUAUUGAUUCUUUUUCCUGCCUGCUGUAUAGGUUUUCCGUUAGGUUGGCACUCUUCUCAUUCUAUAAAUAGUGUGAUCAACCUGUAAAGAAGUGAAUAUAACAGAUUCAAUAUCAUGAGAAAAUUCUCCCAAAACUCUUGCACUCCACCUGCUCAAUAGUUUUCUUCUUUCAUUUAUUUCUUCUUUUCUUAUACCGUCUAACAAUCAUUUUAUUUUAUUUCGUUUCCAUUUUUUUUAUGCAAUCUGUGAUUUAUAGUGGAAAUGAAUUAAACUGGGUUUUGAUGUUCAAACUGCAUGCUAUUAACAUGUUAUUUCCAUAACGAAAUAUUAGUUCUUUUUUUUCUUAUGAUGACAAUCAAUGCAAUACAGUCCUUGUGUAUGUUACCGAGUAACGUUAACAUUUCAAACCUUACAUUUCAUCAUUUGCAUAUCCAUUUUUUAUGCAAUCUGCAAUGUGUAGUAGAAGCUCAUUUUACACUGGCCGGUGAUGUUCAGACUACUCACUGUUUAACAUUCUUAUUAUUCUAUUUCCAUUUCUUUUUUAAUGCAAUCUGCGAUGUAUAGUUGAAACAAAUUACACUGGGUUUUGAUGUUCAGACUGCAUGUUAUUUCCAUGAUGAAAUAUUAAUUCUUCUACCUUACAAUGACAGAAUUAUUCAUUCAUCAUCCACUCGGAGAACCGAUUCGGUGGCACUAUAAAUGUGUUCAAUAAGAAUGAUGUGAGAACAAUAUCGAAAGCGAAAAUGAACGGUGCAGAAAGAGACGUUCAAAAAUUCGUGUUUUGGACACUUUCUUCAGAUGAGUGAAAUGCGAAUACAACAUCAAGUUAUUCACAAGAUGCUGAUGUUGGAAAUCAGGCAACCGAACAAAGACGAAAUAUGGUUUGAACUAGAAGGGAAGAUUAUAAGAUUCUCAAUUCACAAGUUUUGCAUCAUUAGCGGGCUGAAAUGUGGUCAGCUAAUUAUUUUGGUCAUUUGUGCGCCUUUCUUUUUGUGCCAGCUUAGGUGAUGUAGAUCGAGUGGCCUAUAAUUUUAUUGAGAAGUAUGAGAGGAGGCUUGAGAAACAGGAAUAUUAAUUUUUCUGUUAUUUCUUUAUUAUGUCUGUCAAAUUAAGUUUUCUUAUUAUGUUAUCUAG